rnacentral:rRNA from 1 species
UACGUAGGGUGCAAGCGUUGUCCGGAAUUAUUGGGCGUAAAGAGCUCGUAGGCGGCUUGUCACGUCUGCUGUGAAAACUCGGGGCUCAACCCCGAGCCUGCAGUGGAUACGGGCUAGCUAGAGUGCGGUAGGGGAGACUGGAAUUCCUGGUGUAGCGGUGAAAUGCGCAGAUAUUAGGAGGAACACCGGUGGCGAAGGCGCCACUCUGGGCCGAAACUGACGCUGAGGAGCGAAAGCAUGGGUAGCAAACAGG